rnacentral:rRNA from 1 species
AGGGAAUCUUCCACAAUGGACGAAAGUCUGAUGGAGCAACGCCGCGUGAGUGAAGAAGGUUUUCGGAUCGUAAAGCUCUGUUGUUGGUGAAGAAGGAUAGAGGCAGUAACUGGUCUUUAUUUGACGGUAAUCAACCAGAAAGUCACGGCUAACUACGUGCCAGCAGCCGCGGUAAUACGUAGGUGGCAAGCGUUGUCCGGAUUUAUUGGGCGUAAAGCGAGCGCAGGCGGAAUGAUAAGUCUGAUGUGAAAGCCCACGGCUCAACCGUGGAACUGCAUCGGAAACUGUCAUUCUUGAGUGCAGAAGAGGAGAGUGGAACUCCAUGUGUAGCGGUGGAAUGCGUAGAUAUAUGGAAGAACACCAGUGGCGAAGGCGGCUCUCUGGUCUGCAACUGACGCUGAGGCUCGAAAGCAUGGGUAGCGAACAGGAUUAGAUACCCUGGUAGUCCAUGCCGUAAACGAUGAGCGCUAGGUGUUGGGGACUUUCCGGUCCUCAGUGCCGCAGCAAACGCAUUAAGCGCUCCGCCUGGGGAGUACGACCGCAAGGUUGAAACG